AAACCCUUGUAAAUACCAUACAAUAACAACGCCUAAUACUGGCGAUGGUUGUGGCAACACCAAUUUGGUACAUAUACAACCUUGAAGAUUUCAUUAAAGAGUAGUCAUGGGCCUUUGACAAUGAUGAAGAUAGAAUAAGAAAGGUUGGUUUAUUUAUAAUUUUUUUGUAGAAAUUUUGCAGAUGAAGAAAAAAUUUUGUAGUCAACAUACAUUUUUGAACAUAGAUUAUAGUUUAAUUAUAGUAUAAAUAUAGUAAUUUAUAGAUACUCUUAAAAAAAAUUUAUACAAUACUUAAACUGAUUUGUAGUUUAUUUGUAGAAAUUUUAUAGAUAAAUAGAAAAUUUUGUAGUCAAUUUUUUUUCAACAUAGAUUGUAGUGUGAAUAUAGUAUAACUAUAGUAAUUUUGUAGAUGCCCUUCAAAGGAAUACUGCUUUAUACAUACGUAAACGGAUUUGUAGUUUAUUUAUAGAAAAUUUAUAGAUUAGGAGAAAAUUUUGUAUUCAAUAUUUUUUUUCAACAUAGGUUGCAGUUUAAUUAUAAUGUAAAUAUAGUAAUUUGUAGAUACCAUUAAAAUAAUAUUGCACUAUACAUACUUAUACUGAUUUGUAGCUUAUUCGUAGAAAAUUUAUUGACUGGAGCUAGAGGAAUGGAAAUUUUGAUUCUCUUUUUCUUCUUCAUGGGAGACUCCCCAAAAUCAAAUUCCAAUGUAUCUUCAGGCGCAACAAAUUACUGGUGAAUCUAGGUAAUGGAUGAUGUUGGAGAGAUGAGUUGAUUUACUGGGCGUGGAUUAAAAGUUGCAGGACGAGGAUGUGAAAAAUGAGGAAAGAGAAGCCAGGAGAAAAAGGAGGAAGCAAAUCUGAUGUGAAUAAGAAAAAAUAUUUAGUCCCAAAUUUUUGGGCGCCUAAUUUGGAAGAAAUAAGCUAUUCAAAUGUUUAUCCUAGAUUUUUAGGCGCCUAAUUUGGAAGGAAUCAACUCUUAAUAUUG
rnacentral:lncRNA from 1 species